rnacentral:rRNA from 1 species
UACGUAGGGUGCGAGCGUUGUCCGGAAUUAUUGGGCGUAAAGCGCACGUAGGCGGAUAUUUAAGUCAGGGGUGAAAUCCCGGGGCUCAACCCCGGAACUGCCUUUGAUACUGGGUAUCUCGAGUCCGAGAGAGGUGAGUGGAAUUCCGAGUGUAGAGGUGAAAUUCGUAGAUAUUCGGAGGAACACCAGUGGCGAAGGCGGCUCACUGGCUCGGUACUGACGCUGAGGUGCGAAAGCGUGGGGAGCAAACAGG